rnacentral:rRNA from 1 species
GACGAACGCUGGCGGCGUGCUUAACACAUGCAAGUCGAACGGUGAAGCGCCUUCCUUUUUGGUGGGUGUGGAUGAGUGGCGAACGGGCGAGUAACACGUGAGUAACCUGCCCCCUUCUUCUGGAUAACCGCAUGAAAGUGUGGCUAAUACGGGAUAUUCUGGGUCUGUCGCAUGAUGGGUCUGGGAAAGAUAUUGUUUCGGUGGGGGAUGGGCUCGCGGCCUAUCAGCUUGUUGGUGGGGUGAUGGCCUACCAAGGCGGUGACGGGUAGCCGGCCUGAGAGGGUGGACGGUCACACUGGGACGGAGACACGGCCCAGACUCCUACGGGAGGCAGCAGUGGGGAAUAUUGCACAAUGGGCGCAAGCCUGAUGCAGCGACGCCGCGUGAGGGAUGGAGGCCUUCGGGUUGUGAACCUCUUUCGACAGUGAAGCAGGCCUGCCUCGUUUGUGGGUGGGUUGACGGUAGCUGGAUAAGAAGCGCCGGCUAACUACGUG